rnacentral:rRNA from 1 species
CGAAAGAGAAGCGAAGCGGUGACGUGGAGCAAACCUCAGAAAGCCAAUCUCAGUUCGGAUUGUAGGCUGCAACUCGCCUACAUGAAGUUGGAAUCGCUAGUAAUCGCGAAUCAGAAUGUCGCGGUGAAUACGUUCCCGGGUCUUGUACACACCGCCCGUCACACCACGAGAGUUUACAACACCCGAAGUCAGUGGCCUAACCGCAAGGAGGGAGCUGCCUAAGGUGGGGUAGAUGAUUGGGGUGAAGUCGUAACAAGGUACC